ensembl:lncRNA
AGCGUCUUCCUUUAUAAAAUGAGUUGUAAUUUUUUAAGAGCGAGUAGAUGGACACAGUCAAAGUUGCAAUUGAUUUGAAAGGAAAUGGACAUUUUUGAGGAGAUGCCCGAGAGGGGAAAGACUUCAUUUUAAUCCCGUAUUCGCUUCACUGGUCUGGAACCUGAGCAGCUCUAUCGUCUAAGGUAAGAGGAAUUAAAUGUUUUUUUUAAUGUUUAAUCUUAGCAUUCAAUGGAGAUAAUACCUAUGAAAGAGAAAGUGUGCAUAGGCUACUCAAAUCAUGCAUGAUUAACGCGCACACUCGCAGUGUGGAUUCAAUGAGGCCCAUAUUUAAAUAUAUCGUUAUAUGUAGGACAAAAAUAUUAAAUUACAUAACAAGUCAGCAUCACACAGAGAGCAACCUAAUUGGCACGAUAAGAUUGAAAAUAAAUUGAAUUGUGGAAACUUACGGACUCAAGGCGGCCGUCAGCUUCAGGCUGUGGUGACGGUUCAGGUAAAGAGGCAUCAGGUGGGACAGCCGUAGUGCUGGCCGCUGCAGGAGUGCUACAGCUGGAAAACACCGAAACACCAAAUGUUUCCUGUCCCAAAGACCGAGAAGAAGGCGUCGUACUCCAUCCGCUUGGUGGGCAUCCAGUCCUCAAAUACUGAAGUUCAUGUCCUCCAACGGUCCCACCUCAAUGACGUCAGUGUUCGCGGUUCACCGCUUGAGUAACUGAAAGAUUUGGGUGCGUUACAUUUGACGAAGAAGUGCAAGAAGAGCGGCUCAAUUUCUACGGUACCGCCUGUUAAUGCUUCAGGGAGCUGAUGAAUCUAAGAUGGAUACUUUUGACGAUGCCACUCUAUCGGUGUUGGAGGCUGCCAGUGUUGAUGAGGAGGCUUUGAAAGGCCUUAGCCGGGAUGACCUGAGGGAUCUUUUUCCUGGCCCAGAGAAUUUCCUCAAAAGAAAGAAACUUUGGAAUUUCAUCAGUGAAAAUUGUGAAAAUACCACGGACCAAGAUGCCAACAAUUGUGCCAUGCCACCAUGCCAGCCUCAAACCUCAACCCCCAUAUCUGUUGAGAAAAAAAUGAAAAUGCCAGACCCUCCAGAGUAUGUGGUGUACACAGAUUCAGAGUUAGACAUGGUGCGUAGUCAAUACUUUGCACUGCUCUGCAAUGGAAAGGAAAAAAAUUACAAACUGUCCAAGGAGCUAUGUUGCAGACUUGUAAGGAACACAAUAACCAGUAUGGUUGCUAUCCUGCGUGCUAGUCCCAUGGGGAAAGAAGUCAGUUACCCGUCAAAAUUGGAAAUAAGAGCCAUGUCACAGAAGAUUAUAGACUAUUACCCAAUGUUACGGGAUGAUGAUCCAAACAUGCCUUAUCUGACUAUCUACACCAAAAUGUACAAGCGACUCCAAAAUAUGAGAUCCCCACGGAAGAGGCAAGGCUCUGUACCACAAAGAGGAGUGGCAAAGACAGCUCUCUUCAGUGCAGACAACCAAGACAUGGAGACGGAUUGGACAGACACAAGCAACUCAAGUGAUAAUACCUUACUUCUUGAGAGCAAUGAUGACCUUACCGAGGACAACUCCAGUGAAGGUGUGCAAAUUGUUUGCAAAAAAUGAAGGGGUGCUGUUAGACUACUGUUUUUUUGUCUAAAAAUUGUCUAAUCAUGUAAUGAAACUAUAGUUGUCUGUAUUUGUCAAGCCAGAGUUUAUGGCUAGGCAUGCACUGUGUUUAUCUGCCGG